rnacentral:rRNA from 1 species
CCUACGGGAGGCAGCAGUGAGGAAUAUUGGUCAAUGGACGCAAGUCUGAACCAGCCAAGUAGCGUGCAGGAUGACGGCCCUCCGGGUUGUAAACUGCUUUUAGUUGGGAAUAAAAGGGGGCUCGUGAGCCCCGUAUUGUAUGUACCAUCAGAAAAAGGACCGGCUAAUUCCGUGCCAGCAGCCGCGGUAAUACGGAGGAUGCGAGCGUUAUCCGGAUUUAUUGGGUUUAAAGGGUGCGUAGGCGGAUCGUAAAGUCAGUGGUCAAAGUGAGGGGCUCAACCCCUUCCCGGCAUUGAAACUGGCGCUCUUGAGUGAAAGAGGAGGAUGCGGAAUGCGUGGUGUAGCAGUGAAAUGCAUAGAUAUCGCGCAGAACCCCGGUUGCGAAGGCAGCAUGCCGGCUUCCAACUGACGCUGAAGCACGAAGGCGUGGGGAUCGAAAGGGAUUAGAUACCCGUGUAGUC